ACUGAGCUUCUGAAUUUAGAAUACACCCUACAACAACAUCAACUGUGAUUGUGGAUCUAAACUUCCGCGCUGACCUCGAGGGAAUUGCAGUUGUGGCGAGUGAAUCAUAGUCAUUCGCGAUGGGACAUUGCUAUACUUGAGGGACAUUUAAAUGGCAUGGACGUCACAGACUGUCUGAAAGGAUUUGUAGUCUUUUUUAACCCGACCGGUUGCUCGUUUGAUAGGAAUUGGUUUUCCUUCGGGCAAACCUGUGGAAGAAUGUCCCAUUGACAUGGUUCCGGAAACGGUAAAGUAUUAAUUUAUAGAGGACAAUUACAAGAGCGAAGUCCACCUUGGAAUGGCCCACCCGUUACAGUCAGGGCCUUACAUGAGGUGACCUACUAAAUGAAGCAACUAGGAAUACGGGCUUAUGUCCCGGAGAAAACUCCGCCCCAGCAACCUAUCAAUGGACCCCGUAUUUAGAUGAUUACUGUCAGGCAAAUGAAAGGCUCUGCUUGACAUUGGGAAAUCUGGGACAUUUUAUAUCAGUUCAAGACAGGAAAUAUCUGAACUCAUGAUGACUGAACCUGUUGCCUUACAAUAUUAAAUCUGCUUUUACAGUUUGACUGAGCAAAACUUUGUUACGGAUGAACUUGGAAUUUGAGAGUUCUCAAUGUAUUUAUGUGAUGUUAUCGGUGUAAUCUGUAGUGUGCAUAGGUCGAGGUAUAGCAAAAUACUUACUGGUGCAGUCAGGAGAGAUUAUCCUGACAGGGUGGCAUUAUGAGAUAGAUAACACCACGUAUUUCUGAAACGCGGAUAUAACAGCGUACCCUUGUAUCAGUCUAGAUUUCAAUCAAGCCAUGGAUUACCAUUGACUAAAAAAGUGUAAAAACAAUGGUUUGAUGCUAUUUAUUUGUCGGAAAACAGAUUUUACAAACGUUCAUACAUACGCUGGGACAAGCUCUUUAACUCGACGGAUUAAUGGAACAAACGCUUUCACUUUUUCACAUCAUACUAUAUAUGUCUGGUAGCAUCUACUUAUUUUAUUAUCAUAUUCAGUGUGUUGAAAACCAAACGGGUUAUGGAAAAAGCCAAGCAUCAAAACAAAAUCCCUAUCUCGAUAGCAUUCCACUAAAACUGUUGCAAUCAUUGGACAAUGUCUGAAGAUGGCUAAACCAGUUUAGAAGCAUACGAAUGAAACUAACAGAGUUGAAAGUGAUCAUUUUGUUUAAACGGUCUGUGGUUGUAGUGUAAAUCGGGGUUUGAAAUGAUUUUACCGCUUCAUUAAAACUGAAUCCAACCAGUUUUGGGAGUUGGCCACUAGUAGUUCGUAUGGCAGUACUUUUCGUCAGAGAUAAAACCAGCGAUAAGCCAUCUAGAUCGACACACCUGACGUUCAAUGAAGGCAUUAUCGACUUGGGAAGGGUGCUCGCUGAUCAAGCACAAGCCUUCAUCGAUUACAUACUACAGCCACUGUAGAGAGAGGAGCAUUUAGCUUGGCUGUUAAACACGUUGACAUACCCAAGUUGUUGUUCGAUAGGCAACCCGACACGCAAGCGUGCUCCACUGUCACGCCCAGACGUCCGCUCAGAAUACGCCCGGGUUCUUUUCAAACAGAGGGACCAGCUAGCAACACCGUACCAACCCUCUGAUCUCAGGAACUUUUACAGCCAUUCCUCGCAUCCACCUGCCUUCUAACGUCCAAACUUUUUUGGGGAAAUACCCUGAGGAUCAUCAACUAAAAGAUUUUGGAAGAAGAUAACGGUUUACGGAAUUUCGUAUUGUAAAGAAACUUUUUUUUGCUCGGGGAGACAUUUUGUAUUCUGAGAUCUCUUACUCUCCCUAAAUUAGCCAUGGCAUUAUACUCCUGAAUGAUCUAUCCCACGGAACCAUUCAACCAUUGACCUAAAAAAGAAACUAGCACUAAGCGGUAGAAGGGAGACGUAGACGGCCCAAAGCAGGAGGAAUCGCUCUUCUUUUUACCUUCCGUGAAACUCCGUAUCUUACCUCUUCAAGGAUGACGACCUCUAAAAUUUGCAUAGGUAUCCUCCUGUUUCUUACCAUUGCUACUCGGGAAGCGGACGGGCAUCGCUGUGAUUGCUUUAUCAAAGAUUGCAUGAAGUAUCAAGCCGGAAGCCAUCCAAGAUGCGCAUGUUGUGUGUACUACACGCUGGGGAAGAGAUCCGGUGGCAUGCCGAACAAACAAGACUCUGGUAAAAAUCAAAGUCUCAGACGAGAUAUAUUACACUUGCUGGAAAUAUUAAAGAGUCAUUCGGAGUUACGAAAAGCGGGCGGGUCGGAGGCCAGACCUUCUCGGUGAGACUGUGGCCCAUGCCACAGCUAGACUUUAACACAGUCUCUGUAACACUUGUGUUGCUCUUUACGCCAGUAAAGAUGUAGAUUUAUUUUA